GGGCAGGACUGCAAGCACUCGAGUGAGUUGACACAAAUUCUCUCAGUCCAGUGGCUGCAAGACAGGGGAAUCAGCAGGGGAAUUUAGGACACUUACAUAGGGAACUGGGCUCAGUAGUUAAUUUAUUCACAGCAAAUAGCAUCAACACAUAAUAUUCACUAUGUCUGACAGUCCAAAAGAGGGAUCAGCACAGACAGCUGAAGAAGUGGGACAGACACCUACCGAGAACCCAUGUGCAGAGCUCAAAAUUGCAAUGGAAAAAUGUGCAAAUGAGAAAGGGGAAGAAAACUGUCAUGAUCUAAUUCAAGCCUAUAAAGAAUGUAUGAAAUCCCUUGGUUUACAAAUUUGAUGUAAGCUCAGAUAUCCUUUGUUAAAGAAAAAGCAAUACACAUGGGUGAGCCAAUCGCACGAGGCAUCUAUGUGCAGCCACCAAUCAGCAGCUACUGAGCCUAUCUAUAUAUACUUUUCAUCAAAGGAUAGCAAGAGAAUGAAGCAAAUUAGAUAAUAGAAGUACAUUGGAAAGCUGUUUAAAAUUGCUUGCUCUUUCUAAAUCAAAUAAAAAAUUUGAGUUUCA